rnacentral:pre_miRNA from 1 species
UAGACAGAUUAUUGUAUUCGAUUGUAUUCACGAUAUGUAUUUGUGAAUACAGUAACGUAAAUAGCGCAAUAUAUGGUUUAUUCAACUGUUUUUAAACGAAAAGUGAAUCAAUUAACUUAAUAGACUCCU